rnacentral:rRNA from 1 species
UACCCGCAGCUCAAGUGGUGGUCAUUAUUAUUGGGCCUAAAGCGUCCGUAGCUGGCUUGUUAGAUGCCUGGGUAAAUCGAUACGCUUAACGCAUCGAAUUCCGGGUAGACCGGCAAGCUCGAGACCGGGAGAGGCGUGAGCUACUCGAGGGGUAGGGGUAAAAUCCUGUAAUCCUUCGGGGAGGACCAGUGGCGAAGGCGUCACGCUAGAACGGCUCUGACAGUGAGGGACGAAGCCCUGGGGCGCAAACCGG